rnacentral:rRNA from 1 species
ACCCGCGAACCGUCACCGCGUACUAGAGAGACCUCGUGAGCACCCAAAGCGCACGCGGCUCGCGUCGCGUCGGCGCGGGAGUACUAGAGACCCGCGUCGUACCGGCGAACGAACAACUUCAGCACGGAUCGUGCCAAGGAGCUGCAUUUUGAGAAUCGUCGUCCCACGCCCCCAUCGUCCUCGAUGCGGGACGGGGGAUGCACGCAAUCUCUGAUAAGGUCUGAACGACUCUCGGCAACGGAUAUCUCGGCUCUUGCAUCGAUGAAGAACGUAGCGAAAUGCGAUACUUGGUGUGAAUUGCAGAAUCCCGCGAACCAUCAAUUCUUUGAACGCAAGUUGCGCCCGAAGCCAUUCGGCCGAGGGCACGCCUGCCUGGGUGUCGUGAAUCCCCUUGCCCCUAGUCACCCGCACGAGCAUCGGCGGGGAUUAUAUACGCGAGGGCGCAGAAUAUGGUCUCCCGUGGGAUCGGCAUGCGCGGCAUGCCGAGGCGCGGUUGGCCGAAAAUCGAGCAUGGCGGUGACGGGCACCACGGCGUCGGGUGGGAUCGAACGAGAUUGGCCGCGUCGUGGUCUCGGCAUGCUGCGGGCUCCGGACUUUGGCAAUCCCCGAGUACGAUCCCAGGUCAGGCGAAAAUA